CGGGCUCUCACCGAGGGCUUGGGUAAGAGCGAGCAGGGACCCGCCCUGCUGACACCGGUCUCCACCACCUGGUUUAUCAGGACGGAAUUAUUUUUGUUUGCAGCCGCACCCACAGCUCCACCUCAAGAAACGACAGGAAGACCAGUCAGGAAGCUCAUGAAUGAUUUACAGCAAGACUCUUUACAAAAAGGAGCACAGGAACGUUCUGGGUCACUCAUCCACAAUAAAUUAAGAAAACUCAGUCAAAAUGCAAAAUUCCAGAAGGCUUAAAAGAUAUAUCGGGUGGAGGAUUAAUAAUUUUGACUUUUUGAAAACUUCGCCUACACUCAGACUGCAACUACAGAGAUCGGCCCUGUUUGAUUAAGGGCUGGCGUUUUCUCAGGGGAGCCCGAGGCUCCUCCUCACCAGCAAAGGAGCAGCUCAGAGCGAGUGCUCGGUUACUGGGAAGGGAACAGCUAGACGCCUUACCUACCAGAAUUUUUGAAUCGCCCUUCUGUUUACACCAUAAAUACUUCUGAGUGCGUACCUUCAGGCACACACUCGCCUUUGUGUGAAACUGUGGAGGCCCGUAAACUUCAGAGAUGCGUGAUCCUGGGUCACAGCCAUCCUCCUGCUGAAAACAGCUAACUUACUUAACAAAACAUUUAACAAUGUACCUUUGUUCAGUGUGUCAUUGCUCUGGUGAGAAGAGGACUCCUCAGAGGCCAGAAACAAGAUGCAUGGCAAAGUGGCUAGAAAAUUAUGUACUUUAAAGAGUGGCCCCCUGCUUCAAAUACACCUGGCCCCAUACAUGCAUGUCACCACACUAGUAACUGUAUUCCGGGUCCUGAAAUCUACAUUUCUGGGACUGUUCUGUAACUUCCCAUUUGUACCGCUUAAUCUGAGAUCCUGGCUGGCACAAGAAGACAGGGAAGGAAGCACGAUAGAGGAGGGAUCUUCUGGGGACCCCGCAAACACUGACUGUGUAGAAGUAGAUGACUGGCAGGGGAAAACACUUGAAAAUACCCUCUGCAUGCUGUGCCGAUUCAAGUCCUGCCAAUUAUAAGCCAUUUGCACACAGCGUGGCAUUUUUGGAGGGACAAAAGGAGGCCCACAUGGCCUGCCAAUGUUACAGGUAAACUAAGAAAUGAUACCGGGGGAAGCAAAAGUCUACUAGAAAUGAUACUGUAUCCAGCCUUAGUGAAUCACAGCACACAGUAGGACCAAGUCAGCUCUGCAAGUGCGGGGACCAUCUAACUCUUAUUCUUCACUAUCCUCCCGGCAGCCACAGUCUGCCUAGUGUGCAGGUUAGAGCUCAGAAAAGACCUGCUGGACCAACCCACCGAGGUGGAAGACUCCUCCCCAGCCAUGUACACCCAUUACUUCUGCAGCUAAUUUCUAAAGUUGCUAGGCAACAAUUUCCAAUGACAUAUCUGUUCUCACAGAUACCUGGUCUGAUAUUUCUAGCAUCCCCUCUGUCCAAGCUCACAGGUCUCCGUCAGGGGAGCAGGAGGUUGGAAAAAGAGACCCCUUUGGCCAUAAAACAAAUACAAGC